rnacentral:tRNA from 1 species
GGGCGCGUAGCUCAGCGGGAGAGCACCACCUUGACACGGUGGGGGUCAGAGGUUCGAUCCCUCUCGCGCCCACCA